rnacentral:rRNA from 1 species
CAGCCGCCGCGGUAAAACGGAGGGGGCUAGCGUUGUUCGGAAUUACUGGGCGUAAAGCGCACGUAGGCGGCUUUGUAAGUUAGAGGUGAAAGCCCGGAGCUCAACUCCGGAAUUGCCUUUAAGACUGCAGAGCUAGCAGGUGAGAGAGGUGAGUGGAAUUCCGAGUGUAGAGGUGAAAUUCGUAGAUAUUCGGAAGAACACCAGUGGCGAAGGCGGCUCACUGGCUCAUACUUGACGCUGAGGUGCGAAAGCGUGGGGAGCAAACAGGAUUAGAUACCCGAGUAGUCCCUGUCUCUUAUAC